rnacentral:rRNA from 1 species
ACGAACGCUGGCGGCGUGCUUAACCCAUGCCAGUCGCACGGAAAGGCCCUGCUUGCAGGGUACUCGAGUGGCGAACGGGUGAGUAACACGUGGGUGAUCUGCCCUGCACUUCGGGAUAAGCCUGGGAAACUGGGUCUAAUACCGGAUAGGAGCCAUUUUUAGUGUGAUGGUUGGAAAGUUUUUUCGAUGUAGGAUGAGCUCGCGGCCUAUCAGCUUGUUGGUGGGGUAAUGGCCUACCAAGGCGGCGACGGGUAGCCGGCCUGAGAGGGUGGACGGCCACAUUGGGACUGAGAGACGGCCCAGACUCCUACGGGAGGCAGCAGUGGGGAAUAUUGCACAAUGGGCGCAAGCCUGAUGCAGCGACGCCGCGUGGGGGAUGACGGCCUUCGGGUUGAAAACGCCUUUCGCUAGGGACGAAGCUUUUUGUGACGGUACCUAGAGAAGAAGCACCGGCUAACUACGUG